UAUCUCUGUAGAGUCUGCAUAUCAAUAAGCGGAGGAAAAGAAACUAACAAGGAUUCCCUUAGUAACGGCGAGUGAAGCGGGAAGAGCUCAAAUUUGAAAUCUUCAAGGUUCUACCUUGACGAAUUGUAGUUUAAAGAAGUGUUUUCUGUUAGAUGAGUAGCAAAAGUUCCUUGGAAUGGGACAUCAUAGAGGGUGAGAAUCCCGUAUUUGACCAUUAUUUCCAGCUUUGUGAUACACUUUCAAAGAGUCGGAUUGUUUGGGAAUGCAGUCCAAAAUGGGUGGUAAAUUUCAUCUAAAGCUAAAUAUUGGCGAGAGACCGAUAGCGAACAAGUACCGUGAGGGAAAGAUGAAAAGAACUUUGAAAAGAGAGUUAAACAGUACGUGAAAUUGUCAAAAGGGAAGCGUUUGACACCAGUGUUGUUUUUCCAAAAUCAAUUACGAAUGGCUUGAUUCUGUGUUGUAUUGACCUUAUCAGCUUUCUGCACUUUUUUUCGAGUCUUUCUUAAUGCACUUUUCGGUUAACAAGUCAACAUCAAUUUCUUUUGUUGUAAAAGAGUAUUCGGAAGGUGGCUUUCUUUUCGGAGAAAGUGUUUAUAGCCCUAUACUUCUACAAUCGGAGAGAUUGAGGUCUGCAGCGUAGAUCCUUCGGGGUUAGAUACAUUUGUGCUAAGUUAUAGCCUUUCAUAGACAACUUGUUGACUAUGAUCAGUCAUGUAGCUUACUCGCUUAUGCUAUUUUACCUACGCUUAGGAUGUUGACGAGACUGUCGAUCUC
rnacentral:rRNA from 1 species